rnacentral:rRNA from 1 species
UACGUAGGUGGCAAGCGUUGUCCGGAUUUAUUGGGUUUAAAGGGUGCGUAGGCGGCCCUGUAGGUCAGUGCUGAAAUAUCCCGGCUUAACCGGGAGGGUGGCAUUGAUACUGCGGGGCUAGAGUACAGAUGAGGUAGGCGGAAUUGACGGUGUAGCGGUGAAAUGCUUAGAUAUCGUCAAGAACACCUAUAGCGAAGGCAGCUUACUAGGCUGUAACUGACGCUGAGGCACGAAAGUGUGGGGAUCAAACAGG